GUCACGCACGGAAGAACACGCUCACGGAGAGAGAGCCAGGCUGGAGUUGACUCCAACAGACUGGGUGAUAGUGAGCAAGUGUCGAGAAGGUAGAAUGGAGAACGUAGAGUGAGGAAGUGCAGAAUGUGCUCUUGGCUUCUUUCUUGCUCCGCGCCGGCAUGGCUCCGUGACAGCGGGCGCCGCCGGCUGCUCUGACCGGAAAUGAAGCGUCUCUGUCGGCGGCUGGCGGUGGCCGUGGCGGUGCUCGUGUGGCUCGGAGCGCUAGUCUACCUGCUGGUGCUCAGCCGGAGGAGGCUGCCCGAACUCGGCGUGGCUGCCGGGAUGGCCGUCGUUCCUGGUCCUUUCGCCGGUCCCGGUCCUGGUGUCGGGUCCGACAAACAGAUGUCCGACGCCGAGUGGGAGGACAUGUUGGACGACUUUGACGAGCGAAGUUACCUGAGCGCCCGACGCUGGAGGCCUGGCGACGACCCGUACACGCUGUAUGCCUUCAACCAGAGGGAGAGCGAACGCAUCCCCAGCAACCGAGCCCUGAGGGACACCAGGCACCUCAGGUGCGCCGACCUCCGCUACGACGCCGACCUUCCUCCUACCUCCGUCAUCAUCACCUUCCACAACGAGGCCCGCUCCACUCUGCUGCGCACUGUCAGGAGUGUUUUAAACAGAACUCCCGUUCAUCUCAUCCAUGAGAUCAUCCUGGUGGACGACUUCAGCCAUGACGGAAGCGACUGCCAGCUUCUCACCAAACUGCCCAAAGUCAAAUGUCUCCACAACAGCAAAAGAGAAGGUCUGAUCCGGUCCAGGGUUCGCGGCGCCGAUGCUGCCGGGGCGGCUGUCCUCACCUUCCUGGACAGUCACUGUGAGGUCAACAAGGACUGGCUGCCCCCCCUCCUGCAGAGGAUCAAGCAGGACCCCACCCGCGUGGUCAGCCCCGUCAUCGACAUCAUCAACAUGGACACCUUCGCCUACGUGGCCGCCUCCGCCGACCUGCGAGGAGGAUUCGAUUGGAGCCUCCAUUUUAAGUGGGAGGGGCUUUCGCCUGAGGAGAGAGCUCGUCGGACCGACCCCACGCAGCCAAUCAAGACUCCCAUCAUCGCCGGCGGCCUCUUUGUGAUUGACAGCUCAUGGUUCGAUCACCUGGGCAAGUACGACACGGCCAUGGACAUCUGGGGCGGGGAGAACUUUGAGAUCUCCUUCCGGGUGUGGCAGUGUGGAGGAAGUUUGGAGAUCGUUCCGUGUAGUCGUGUGGGUCACGUCUUCCGGAAAAAACAUCCGUACGUCUUCCCAGAAGGAAACGCCAACACUUACAUCAGGAACACGCGUCGCACAGCCGAAGUUUGGAUGGACGACUUUCGCCUCUUCUACUACUCGGCUCGGCCUGCAGCUCGAGGAAAAUCCUACGGAGACAUCCGAGGACGCGUGGAGCUGCGACACAAGCUCAAGUGCAAGUCCUUCAAGUGGUACCUGGACCACGUCUACCCAGAACUCAAAGUCCCCGAUGAUUCCGACUCGCAGUCCGGGCUCAUCCGACAGAGGCAGAACUGCUUGGAGUCCCGCAGGGUGGACGGCCAGGAGGUUCCGGUGCUGAUGUUGGCGCCCUGCGUGGAUCCAGACGGGGUCCACGCCCCCAAGCAGGAGUGGAUCUACACGCCAGGGCUACAUUGUGGUGGUCUACCCUGGAGUGUGUGUAUGUGCGUGUCUAAAGGUGUUCCUCCUGCAGGAGUGGAUCUACACGCCAGGCCAGCAGAUACGACAGCAACACCACUGCGUGUCCGUCACCACCACCUUCCCCGCCUCGCAACUGCUGCUGUUGCCCUGCAACAUGGCCGACGGCAAGCAGCGCUGGCAGAAGUCGGGCACUCACCUGGAGCACCAGACGUCUCGCUUUUGCCUGGACUCGGCCAUGGCGCUGGACGGGCUGGACUCGUCCCGCAUGCUGGUCAUCAGCCCGUGUGAGCAGAGCGCCGCCACGCAGAGGUGGGACGUGCCCUUCUCCUGACCCUCCAACCCACCCGUGACCUCUGACCUCGGAGACACCAGCUGCUGAGCAUCUGGUGAGGAGGCCAGCGGGUUGUUUGGGUCCUGAACCUAAAGUGCACCUUAAGGCCGGCCGCCCUGUUGGAGUCUUUUGUAACGAGCACGAGGCGCUAAGCGGGCUAUAUUUACAACGAGGACGUUUUGAUACGAAAAGGUCUUUCACGUAUGGAAAGGUGGGACGACAUCAUCACUUCCUUUGCAUCACAGUGACAGUAGGACAGCUCCUCCAGCGCCGCGCUGCACAGCAUGAUGAUGUCGGGAACAGGAAGUGAGCUGAUGAAGCACUUCCUGCGUGGGCGAGAGUACCAAGUCAGAGGGGCUCGUGGAACUGGUUCGGGACAAGGACAAGGACCUCCCCCAAGGCCCACCAAUCCAACACAGGAAAAACAAGACAUGUACCGAUCCGACCCUGUAGGAGGCAGUCUUGAUUACAUCACUGGGGUCAACUGCAGCAGGUUGGACCUCACAGCGUCACCUGCUGGACCUGAUGCAUGGUGCAACCACGGUGUCCGUCCAUCCAUCCAUCCAUCCAUCCAUCCAUCCCUUUUCUUUUUCUAUUGCGCUGACCCUCGCCAGGGUAUGCUGGAGUCUAGCAACCACAACAUCCAACCGUCCGUCCCUUUUCUAUAGCGCUGACCCUUCGCCAGGGUCGCGGUAUGCUGGAGCCUAGCAACCAUAACAUCAUCCAU